UUUCCGUAGGUGAACCUGCGGAAGGAUCAUUGCCAAUUGAACCGGCGCAAGCCGAAUCAUUGACUGUGCAAAGUUGGGUGUAGACACCGGGGCGCCUACUGCGGUGGGUGCCAACGGCUGCCUACAUUAUUUGAUGACAUACGUUGACCGUUCUCAGUAAACAUUCUGACAACUUUCAGCAACGGAUCUCUUGGUUCUC
rnacentral:misc_RNA from 1 species